GGAAUCUUGGACAACGGGGGCAACCCUGAUCCAGCGACGCCGCGUGGGUGAUGAAGGCCUUCGGGUUGUAAAGCCCUUUCACCGGGGACGAUGAUGACGGUACCCGGAGACGAAACACCGGCUCACUCCGUUCCAGCCGCCGCGGUAAGACGGAGGGUGCUAGCGUUGUUCGGAAUCACUGGGCGUAAAGGGCGCGUAGGCGGCGUCGCAAGUCGGCUGUGAAAGCCCGGGGCUCAACCCCGGAGGUGCAGCCGAGACUGCGGUGCUCGAGUCCGGAAGAGGAGGGUGGAAUACCCAGUGUAGAGGUGAAAUUCGUAGAUAUUGGGUGGAACACCGGUGGCGAAAGCGGCUCUCUGGUCCGGCACUGACGCUGAGGCGCGAAAGCGUGGGGAUCAAAC
rnacentral:rRNA from 1 species